rnacentral:rRNA from 1 species
CUACAUGAAGCUGGAAUCGCUAGUAAUCGCGGAUCAGAAUGCCGCGGUGAAUACGUUCCCGGGUCUUGUACACACCGCCCGUCACACCAUGGGAGUCGGAAAUGCCCGAAGUCUGUGACCCAACCUUAGGGAGGGAGCAGCCGAAGGCAGGUCGGAUGACUGGGGUGAAGUCGUAACAAGGUAAC